rnacentral:rRNA from 1 species
AGAGUUUGACCUGGCUCAGAUUAUUGAACGCUGGCGGCAGGCCUAACACAUGCAAGUCGAGCGGAAACGAGUUAUCUGAACCUUCGGGGAACGAUAACGGCGUCGAGCGGCGGACGGGUGAGUAAUGCCUAGGAAAUUGCCCUGAUGUGGGGGAUAACCAUUGGAAACGAUGGCUAAUACCGCAUAACGCCUACGGGCCAAAGAGGGGGACCUUCGGGCCUCUCGCGUCAGGAUAUGCCUAGGUGGGAUUAGCUAGUUGGUGAGGUAAGGGCUCACCAAGGCGACGAUCCCUAGCUGGUCUGAGAGGAUGAUCAGCCACACUGGAACUGAGACACGGUCCAGACUCCUACGGGAGGCAGCAGUGGGGAAUAUUGCACAAUGGGCGCAAGCCUGAUGCAGCCAUGCCGCGUGUGUGAAGAAGGCCUUCGGGUUGUAAAGCACUUUCAGUCGUGAGGAAGGCCGUAUAGUUAAUAGCCUUAUUGUUUGACGUUAGCGACAGAAGAAGCACCGGCUAACUCCGUGCCAGCAGCCGCGGUAAUACGGAGGGUGCGAGCGUUAAUCGGAAUUACUGGGCGUAAAGCGCAUGCAGGUGGUUUGUUAAGUCAGAUGUGAAAGCCCGGGGCUCAACCUCGGAAUAGCAUUUGAAACUGGCAGACUAGAGUACUGUAGAGGGGGGUAGAAUUUCAGGUGUAGCGGUGAAAUGCGUAGAGAUCUGAAGGAAUACCGGUGGCGAAGGCGGCCCCCUGGACAGAUACUGACACUCAGAUGCGAAAGCGUGGGGAGCAAACAGGAUUAGAUACCCUGGUAGUCCACGCCGUAAACGAUGUCUACUUGGAGGUUGUGGCCUUGAGCCGUGGCUUUCGGAGCUAACGCGUUAAGUAGACCGCCUGGGGAGUACGGUCGCAAGAUUAAAACUCAAAUGAAUUGACGGGGGCCCGCACAAGCGGUGGAGCAUGUGGUUUAAUUCGAUGCAACGCGAAGAACCUUACCUACUCUUGACAUCCAGAGAACUUUACAGAGAUGUAUUGGUGCCUUCGGGAACUCUGAGACAGGUGCUGCAUGGCUGUCGUCAGCUCGUGUUGUGAAAUGUUGGGUUAAGUCCCGCAACGAGCGCAACCCUUAUCCUUGUUUGCCAGCACUUAGGGUGGGAACUCCAGGGAGACUGCCGGUGAUAAACCGGAGGAAGGUGGGGACGACGUCAAGUCAUCAUGGCCCUUACGAGUAGGGCUACACACGUGCUACAAUGGCGCAUACAGAGGGCAGCCAACUUGCGAAAGUGAGCGAAUCCCAAAAAGUGCGUCGUAGUCCGGAUUGGAGUCUGCAACUCGACUCCAUGAAGUCGGAAUCGCUAGUAAUCGUGGAUCAGAAUGCCACGGUGAAUACGUUCCCGGGCCUUGUACACACCGCCCGUCACACCAUGGGAGUGGGCUGCAAAAGAAGUAGGUAGUUUAACCUUCGGGAGGACGCUUACCACUUUGUGGUUCAUGACUGGGGUGAAG